UAUAUUGUGCAAAAUUUACCACACUACCCACUGAGGGUCAUCUAAGAUUCCUAAGUAACUAUACGUAGCAAACAUCUGCACCGUGGGCUGAUUAAAAUAUUUAGUUGUAGGAGAAAGUUAUCUCGAUGCCGAGUUUAUAAUUUUAAAGGAAGACUCAGGCCAGACAGCUAAACGUGGAAGAGGGUGGCAUGGCAAGUUGCCUAAUGCUCCUUUUGGCACACCAGAAUUUGGAAGGAACUGAACAUCUUCUCAGAAAGGGAAAGCCAAUGAUAUCUUCGACAACAACAAAAAUACCAUAUAUAUUAGAAGAUGUUGAAAAUAGUGUUCUACAGAUUGAACAUAAACGGUGGCCAAUCAUCAUCUAUACAAAUCCAUGACAGGAUGAAAUGAGUUCAUGUGGAUCUGGGUGGCUCAAAGGAUGGACGACAGCAGGUGCUAUGGAGUCCUUUGUACUCUCUGUGAUUUUCCUGUGUCUAAGGACAGGAGAUGGCAUAAGCAGAUAAAAGGUAAGGAAGACACCCAUUAUGAGUAAUACUAUUACUGACAUAAGACAAUUUAUUAUUUAUUGUUGAAUAUAUGUAUACAUUUUAUGGAAAUAGGAAUAUGCAUUUUUUAAGGAAAUAACUUCAGAUCACUAACAUUUUCCUUAAUCCUGUCCACUCUGCAUUUUAUUAUUAUUACACCUAGAAAACAUUGCAUAUAUUAUAGACCAUGUUCCAAUUUAUUGGCUGAAAAAGAUAUUUAUUGAGCACUUGCUCGAAGCCAUCACUGAUAGAAAAAUAUUAAGAACCCCAUAAUAAAAAUAGCUAAUGCACAGGCCAAACACUGUUCUAAGCACCACUGCAAGAGGUAGAUACUAAUAUAUAUGCUCCUUUUACAGACAAACUUACUAGGGAUGUUAAAUAACCUUCCUAAGAGUUACUCUGCUGUCCAUCCAAUCACUCCAUUAUACUGAUUCUCAUACACUAGAAAUGCUCACAGUUUUCAACAUAAGCAGUUAUUUUGACAAAAUUAAGGAAAAAAUCUUGGUUCCAAUGUUAAAUUUUUCCUCUCCAAUGCUUUACAAAUUAAACAACUUAAGUAUUUCUAGAUUUGGCCACUUCAUGAUUGAAAAAUUAUGUAGUCAAUGAAUAGUUUUCCACUUAUCAAUUUAAGAAAAAGUAGUGAGGACUCAACAACAUAUUUAGCAUUGUGACUCAUUCUGAACAUAAAAGGAAAGUUAAGUUGGUUUAAAUAGGUAAACUCAUGUGCACUGAAAUCUGUUUAUUCCUAUCACUGGUUGAUGGUUGAGUGUUUGUGGUACAAUUUAAGUUAUGUUUAAGAAUAGAGUUUUUUUAUUUCUCUCCAAAUAGGAUGCAGUUUUAUAAUUAAUUGUCUCCCACACAGAAGUACAAUUAAUACAUACCAGACCCUGAAGAAGAACUCAUAGAAGGGAAACUAGACUGUGGAUUUUUUUGAUUUCUUAAAGCAUUAAAUACUAAAACAUGAUAAACGGGCUGGAUUAAGUAAAACUCAAAGAGCAGUUUAGAAAUGCAGAUAUAAUUUCACCCCUAGAUCAUGAAACAGUAUUUGGUGUGACAAAGGCGUUGUCAGUACUGUUUACAAGUUUUUUGGUCAUUACUUAUUCAACAUUAGUAUUCAAGUUGAGACAGAUGACAGAGUUCUUUGGUUUAGGCAAAUCUCUUCAUUGUGAAACUAGGGUGAUAGAUACUUGAAAGGCAUUGUUUUAAUUUAUAACCACUUCAGAAAACCUCCUUCAGGUGACUGAUAUUAUCAUCAUCCUUAUGUCAUAAAAGAGGCAACUGUGUCUCGGGAAGGUAAAGUGAACAUCUCAGGGUCAUGUAAGUCGGAAGCGACACAGCGGUGACUUACACUCAGAUCCUUACUCUCCAGAGUUAGUGCUCUUAACCAGUAGGGCACAUUGCCUCUCAAAUAUCUCUGAAGGGACAUAGAUUUGAAUGUAAUUAGAAAUGUUCACUACCAAGCACUGAGGUACAAUUCUCUAUGUGUCUGUCACAUCUCUGCAUGUCUUGCAAGCACACACAUUGACUGAUACUAGACUAUCUUAAAGAAUGUUAGUAUAGUGGAUGGUGUUGCAAGACAGAGAUAUGGUCUCCCUAUGGAGGAAUGGCAGGCAUGCUUACUCUUAUUAAAAUAUUAGGGUCUGCUCCUAUAAACAUCCCAGUGUGUGUGCAGAUGUUAUCUGACCAUUGGCAUUGUCCUGAAAAAACUGGGCUUUGGAAACCAGCAUAAGAUAAUGUUGAUACUGUGGUCACAAUUUUUUUCUUAAUGAGUUAUAAAGCCUUUUGAUUCUGAAAACAGAAGAGAAGAAAACAAAAACGUCUCUAAAUUGGAAGUUGAUCUACUUUCUUUAAUGUCUGAAGAUUAUGACUAUUUUGGGGAUCCUCUUCAAAGAAAGUAAUAUAAAAUUACUAAUAUAAAGUUAAUUUCAGGAAUGUGGAGGGGUCCUGGCAAUUGAGAAGCCUUGAAAUGGAAUCUCUAAUGGUGACAAAUCCAUCUUGCUUCUAAUUAUAUUUUUGAAAGUCAUUGUUUUCCAUUUUGACAAAUGACUCUAAAUUACUUUUCACUUCCCAAGCACCAGGUGUAUAUAUCACAUGGCGACUCAUUUUAAAGAAUAGCUCUUACAUUUUGUUUUUUCAGGCAACAUAAAAUCUAGAGUAUGUCUCUCAAACGAUAAUCUUUUCAACACUCUGGGGUCCUACUUAGAUUUA
rnacentral:lncRNA from 1 species